AUAUGAAAAUUUGAGCUCACUUUUAUCCUAACCCAUUCAAAUGGAAUAUUGAACGCGAACAAAGAAUUUCAUUAUCAUUUUGUAACCGAUGGUGUGUCAGCAUCGAUAUUAUAAGACAUAUCGCGAAAUACAUUGGCACAGUUGGUGAGCGAUGAACUGAUAAAAAAGCGUUACAAGGAUGGCUUUUACAUCUACGAAUUGUGAAUCGAUUGACGGCAUAUCGACUCCGGCAAAGAGAUGAAUUUCAUGGCCAGCAGUAAGAAAUAUCAUUGAACAGGCAAGGAGUACGAAACCGAAAAGCAAAGCGAUGAACACGGGGGUUUUUCGCCUUUGAACAAAACAAUUGAAAUGACAGAACUCGUUAUCCGCAAAUGCCGAGUCCAAAAGGACAAAAUUGGAGCGAUUAUAUAAGUCAUCGCUUGAGGUCACCAUUGACGUUUAUACGAGAGAAGGAUACACCCGUCUUUGAUUUGAUAAAUAUAUCGAAUCAAAUCGAGUAUGUGGAAAGAUUGCUGCCAAGAACAAAAUGCUGACACAAUUUUCUUGGGAGAUAACAACGACUGGCCAGAAAGAUUGAAACUACCCUAAAAACCCGUGACAAUGAAGACGAAACGAAUGCUGCUAUCGGAACGACAAGAAUUGCGCGAUGCAAUGGUUGCGAAUCCAAAUCAAGAUGUUGGUUUUGUGUCAAAGGUCAUUUGUUACCGAAAAAACUGGCGACAUAACGCGGCAUACGAAGCGGUUAACAACGUUGCUUAGCUACCACGCAUUAUUCGCGACAAAAAUUUAAUCGAUUUUACUGAGGAUUAGGGGCUGCAUAGCUGAUAAUGUACAAAGGCCAUUGUGGACUCUUCGGAUUUGAGCUGUAUCGUAAUUUGACCAUAGCUUUUUUUGUUUCGGGAAGUCGUCAUGCUUAUAUCCAUGUUUUGUGAUUGCUAUCAAUUGGCAUGAAAUUUGAUCCGCUUUAAAUUGAAAAUUGCCAUUAUAAUCAAUAGAAAAAUAAAAGUGGUAACUUAUUUGCGA